UCCGCCGAUAAAUAUGGCGGGCACCGGCGGCUUCCGCCCCAGCAGCCCAACGAGCGCCCUCUCCAUCUCCGCCCCGCUCGGGUCCUCGUCCAGCUCGUGGAUGGCCGCGUCGACCCCGAGCUCACUGAACAGACUCUUCACGCUGUAGCACAUGCAGCAUGAGCUGAAGCUGAAGACCGUCACCGCUCGCUGCGACGCCAACCUCAUCACCUUCUCCAUCGCAGCCACAAGUCGAAGCGAGGUAGGUACCUGAGAGCUCUGUGCACAUUCUUCUCUUCGUGUGACUCGUUUAUAUAGGCGCAUAUCAUUCCGUUUCUUCUGCUACUGCAUCUGCUCACAUAUUGUUUCAGAUCCAAGUUGGUAAUGGCAGGAGUCGGAUAAUGUUCUUCUCUCUUUUAGCAGCCAGGCGCACAGAUAAGGCUAAGGCUACUCUAACAGGAAUAUUUGCAAGGCAAAUCCUGAGUUCCAGUUUCUGACAUGAGUACACCGGAGAUGUUACAAGAUGUCUGAAACAAGGAGCUGGGUUUGGAGAAGAAUAGAUACCCUGUUUUGCUCUCCACCACGACAAGCUGAAAUGAUUUAUAUCCAACAGGAACAAAGGAAAGAAAAGGGUUGAGUGAAGCUGACAGCAGCCUUUGGGUUCUUGAGGAGUCAAAGAUGGCAUCAAUUACUUAAAACUUCCACUUGCUCUCUUAGUUUUUGGCCUUCUGCAGCAAUUUGAAGGUUUCUGAAGCACAAAACUUACAUCUUUUUUCUUCCAUGGCUGUAAUCUGGGAUUCCACAUAAUGGAAUUGGAGGAACUUGUUCUUUCCUGUCUGCCCUGCUCUGAAAGAAGAUGAUCACUGUGCAAUGAUGAGACACAUUAUUCUUCCUUCUAUAAUCUGAUCAUGGAAUAAGACUUUUCUGUAAGCUGUGGAAGAUUAAGCUCAACAGGGAGGGAAGAAAGAUUGUGAGCAAUGCAGUAAUUAUCUACUCACUUCCUUUUGACUUUUGGCUCAUCUGCU